UAACUCAACUGGAGAUCCAUAAGUAGGAUGGAUUUGAGUUGAUGUAAUCCCAUUAUUUCAGCUCCAUACUUUACCUCCCUUCAUAGUCAGGUUGCUGUCAAAAGGACUGUACCAAUUUCCAGCCUCAUAUCCAAGUUCAAACAUGUCCAAAGUAGGUGUGAAUUACUUCUGAAAGUUCUCCUGGAAAAGCUUUCCUGGAAGCAUCCUGCCAACCUAUUGUUGCAACUCAUGGAGGUGAAAUGGGCAACAUGCACAAUCCUAAUCCAGUCCCUGGCAAGAGGGUGAUAAUUACCCUUAGACCAGCAGACCACCCUGGAGCGGAGGAUGCUGAGCUACACCAACUGUGCAUAAGGGGGAGGGAUUCCUGAACAUCAGGAUUCUGUUGGCAAGGGAGGAGGAAGAAAAGAAUGUUGAGUAGGUAACAAACUCAUCUUCAGUAUUCCCAGAAUCUUGUAGACAUACUUAAAAAAGAAAAAAAAAA